UUUGUUGUAAAACCCGAAAACUGUCGAACGGAUGUAUCGCACGCACUUCGAUGCGCCAAGACGAAUUUAGGCAAAAUUUCGAAGUCGUCGGAAUUCGACACAAUAAAUUUUAUUAAAUUCUACGAGAAAUUUCGAUUGAAAUUGUAUAAAGAACGUAUACUUAAUUUCGCACAGCUUGGAAAUUAAAAAUCGCCGAAGAGGAUUAAAUAAAUUUAGCCCUUUUAUACCUUUUUUGCCCUUCAUGAGAUAAAAGAGAAUUAAUGAGAAGAGGGGAACAUGCGUAAUUUACUGCCUAAUAUUUCCUAAAAUCCCUCAUAAAAUUAGGGACCAAUUCAUUUGGUCCCUUGCCCUUUUAUUUCGGCCGAACGAAGGGAGGCGGGCGGAAACGAGAGAGAGGGCGACGCGAGGGCUUGAUGAGCGGCGGCCGGUGGGUUUCCAAUGGCGGUUUAGAGGAGAAAUCAAAGGCAAAGUCUAAGGAGAAUCCGAUGCAAAGAAUGGCUGACCGCCCUUGGUUCACCUACAGUCGUAGAGGACCAGCUAAUAGGUUCCUCAGAUGUCUUUUUAGUUGUAGUUUACUUCUUUUUUUUGUGGUUUAGCAUGAAUGAUAGAUUUUAAAGCCACCUUUUUAUAUAUGAACUGAUAUAUAAUGAUAUGCAAUGUUUAAUACAGUUUGGAAAAUGUUUAGAGGCGCUUUUAGUUUUC